GCUUGGAGGAGGGCCACCUUCUGCAGUUGUCACCGCGUCAACGCUGGGAAGCUGCCAGGGCACCCGCUCCCCCCCCCUUCCAGGCAACUUCUUCCAACAGUCCCCUCUGACAGACCCCAACUCUCCUCUCUCACGCCUCGCCCGUCCAGCGGGGCACAAAGAAAUCUCAGUCUCUCCCUAAACUUUGUGCUUUCAGUUAUGCCGCCCCCUCCGCUCAACCCCAGCCCCCGCCCUCUCCCAGCUUCUUGGCAGGAAGGUUAGGCCACUGGCAAAGUCCUCAGCGACAGCCAGAUGAUCACAAAUGCCAACUGUGUGUCUUGGGGCCAGUUAAGUCCGCUCAUCUGCUCAGGCUCUCAGAAGACCAUUUCUUUGCUCUCAAGGGUCCCAGGAGACCGCUGCGGACACGGACCGUCCCGCUCUGGGCCCGCGUGGACGAGGUGCUGAGUCGCAUCCUCAACGUGUUCUCUCACCUCCAGUUUCCAUUUUAAAUUGUAAAAUUUCCAAAUUUGGAGACAAGCAGAUAUUUUUCUCAUCUUGGAAAGGAGGAGCGAGCGUUAGCUAGCUGAUUAGCCGUAGGUGGGAAACGAACCAUCUCUAAUAAAAAUACUAACUUUUUGAGAAACUCUGGGGAAGUUCUGUAGUCCCACCCUGCCCCGUGACCUUUCAUUCUUUUAGUUCUUCUGCCACAGGGAAGCACCGAUCGACUAAUAAAAGAUUUGAUCUUGCUAUAAUUUCCCAAGCAGUUUCUGUGUCUGCUUUCUGAUUCAUUAUCAUGAAUGACAUCAUUAAUAACCAUCCUCAGGAGAGAACCAUGAGAGAGUUUAGUAAACACAUAAAUCCCACAAAAAUGACAACACAACAUAAAAA